UUAGGAAUCUUGGGCAAUGGGCGAAAGCCUGACCCAGCCAUGCCGCGUGAAUGAUGAAGGUCCUAGGAUUGUAAAAUUCUUUCACCGGGGAAGAUAAUGACGGUACCCGGAGAAGAAGCUCCGGCUAACUUCGUGCCAGCAGCCGCGGUAAUACGAAGGGGGCUAGCGUUGCUCGGAAUUACUGGGCGUAAAGGGCGCGUAGGCGGACGAUUAAGUUGGGGGUGAAAUCCCAGGGCUCAACCCUGGAACU
rnacentral:rRNA from 1 species